CACAAUUCCACAAGCAGCCCUCAUACGCAGCCCACAUUCAUAUGUAUCAUACACGAUACCAUAAACUACUCAUGAACAUAUACAAUAUAAUAGCUCAUAUACGCACAAAUACAUUGAUACAAAGCAAUUACAGUAAAAAUAACACAAGCAGAAUACGGCAGCAUACACACCUCAAUUUAAAAAAAAUAGGACCGGCACGCUACGGGACAUCACAAUCCUAUAUCGGCACAGUGCUGCUAAAAUGUUGCCUACCCCUGCACUAG